CAGAAUUAUCCCAAGCACUGGGAAUAUUAAAAAUGAAACAAUUUUGGAUACACACAUGCAUACAUUAAUACAUUAUGUAUAUUCAUUCACAUUAUAAGGUGAAAACGCCAUCAUAUGAUUAAAUCAAUAUUAACAAGGACAAAGAACAUACAUUAAGCACAUUUAAAAUAUCUGAGGCGAUAAAUGGUAGCUGAUAGGGUUAAAAAGGUUUUUUAAAAUAGAUCCCAGUUUCUCCUACAACGAAUUUUCCUGGGAGAGGAGUUAGGCAGUGUAUGACACACACAGAUAAGUAUAAUCCAAGGAAUGGGGUGAUAGGGAAAGGGAGAAAUUCAGAGUGAGCUGGAUCUUAAUCAAUGAAAAAAACCAUUAUUGAAUACUUCCUGUGUGCUGGGUAAUGUGCCGAGUACUAGAAAUAGAAGGGUAAAAGUGAAUAUAGUCCCCGGCAUUAAAAAUCUUACAUUCUAAUGAGGAAGGCAACACGUACAUACAUACAUGCACACACAUGCAUACAUAUAUGACACACCAAAUUUAUAUAACAAGGAAACCACAGAAGGGGAGGCCCUAGCAUUUGGAGGGAUCGGGAAGAUUAUCCAGUAUAAGGUGAUAGGAGCUGAACUUUGGAGGAAAGCAGAUGUUUUAAGAGGAAGAAAUGAGGAGAGUGUCCCGGCAAAGCACCAGGAUGAAAGAGCAUUCUCUGUGAGAAAUUGCGGGUAUCCAGCCAUUGAGCAAUCAAGAGUGAGGGUGAUAGAGAAGACUAGGAAAGCAGGAAGAGGACGAGUGAUGAGCAGUUCUAAGUCUGUAGAUGUAACUCUGGUUUUGCUUUAUCUUUGUGUCUACUUACCUCAGACUUUCGUUUUAAUAGAGAAUGUGCUUUUUUUAUGUAUGUUUGUCAAAGAGGUUGAUUUGUUUCUGGUGUCUCUUUGUUGUCCUCCACCCUAAUAAUAAAAAUAAAUAAUAUCAGCGUCAUUAACAAUACAUGUAAAAUGUGUCAUUUGGGGAGACAGUUUGUACUCUUGAUUUUGCCUGCACUUAAAUCCAUUAUCAUCUCUACUAAGUUGGACUUCGUGUGCCUUUAAAGGAGACAAACCACUUGAUACACAUGAAUGAAAUCAGCCAGUACGGUUCCAACAGCACACAAACUAAAUUGACUCUUCAUUUCGUAGAAUCUUUGUUUAAUGAUAUCAGAAUAUCAUAUGGACUCAAUAAAUAUGCCAAAGAAAGUUAGAAACUGAAGACGUCCAGUUGGAAUUCAGAGAUGCCAGUGAGACAAUGAAUCAAGGUCAGAGCUACAAGUGCCUUGUUCUCUUUCUGGUAAGACAUGAUUAAUAUGAAGAAGACAGUAGGUAAAUGCAUCAAGAGACUCACUAGCCUACUGAAGCCAAAGCUGAAUGUGGAGAACACAGAUUGUGGAACCAAGGCCAAGGAGCAGAAAUGGGCUCCCAAACAGGAAAUAUCUGAAGAAGGAGAAUCACAAGGGGUGACAUUGGAAGCUUCCCAAGGACUGGAAUAUGGAGAAGCCUGGGAUUGUAUGGGCAGAUCAGAGAGGUGGCUGGGGAUCUUCACAGAAGAGAAGCUGAAGAAAUCCUCUUCUUUGGAAACAGAUUUCAGAGAGAGUUCUACAGUAGACCAGAAACCUCCUCCUGAGAAAAUAGAGGAGGCAUGUGCCAAACUUGGGCAGAAUGUCAAUAUGGACCCAAAUGUAGUUCCACAGAAGAGAAUUCCCACAGGAGCCAGAUCCCAUAUAUGUGACCUAUGCAAUCAGAGCUUUAAGCUCAGUGAAGAACUAAUGACCCAUCAGAAAAUCCAUGAGGGAGAGAAACCCUGUAAAUGUGAUGAAUGUGGGAAAGUGUUCAGCCAAAGCUCCUACCUCCUUCAACACCAGAGAGUUCACACUGGAGAGAAACCCUAUCAAUGCAAUGAGUGUGGAAAAGCAUUUGCUUGGAGCUCAAACCUUAUUCAACAUCAGAGAAUUCACACUGGAGAAAAACCAUAUGAAUGUAAUGAGUGUGGGAAGUCCUUUAGGGCACAUUCACAGCUUAUUCAUCAUCAAAAAAUUCACACUGGGGAGAAGCCCUAUCAGUGUAAUGAAUGUGGGAAAUCGUUUGGUAGGAGCACAACUCUUAUUCAACACCAGAGAAUUCACACUGGAGAGAAGCCCUAUCAAUGUAAUGAAUGUGGGAAAGCCUUUAACUGGAACUCAAACUUUAUUGAACACCAGAGAAUUCACACUGGAGAAAGACCUCACGAAUGUAACGAAUGUGGGAAGGCCUUCAGCCAGAGCUCAAACCUAAUUGAACACCUGAAAAUUCACACAGGAGAAAAGCCCCAUGAAUGCAAUCAGUGUGGGAAAUCCUUCAUGAGGAGCUCAGGCCUUAGACAACAUCAGAGAAUUCAUACAGGAGAGAAACCUUAUCUGUGUAACGAGUGUGGGAAGACCUUCAGGGAGAGCUCACAACUCAUUCAGCACCAGAGAAUCCAUACUGGAGAGAGACCCUUUGAAUGUCAUGAGUGUGGAAAAGCCUUCAUCUUGAUCUCAAAUCUUACAGAACACCAGAGAAUUCACACUGGAGAGAAACCUCAUGAAUGUAAUGAGUGUGGAAAAGCCUUUAGUCAAAGAUCAAACCUCAUCAGCCACCAGAGAAUACACACUGGAGAAAAACCCUAUGAGUGCACUGAAUGUGGGAAAACUUUCAAGGGGAGCUCUGGCCUUGCUCACCACCAGAGAAUUCACACUGGAGAGAGACCCUAUGAAUGUAAUGAAUGUGGUAAGACCUUUCGAGGGAGCUCAGAACUGAGACAGCACCAGAGACUUCAUUCUGGAGAAAAGCCUUAUGUAUGUAAUGAGUGUGGCAAAGCCUUUGUUAGAAACUCUGAGCUCAUCAGCCACCAGAGAAUUCACACUGGAGAGAGACCCUAUAAAUGUGACAUGUGUGGCAAGCCCUUCAGCCAUCGUUCCAACCUUAAUGAACACCAGAAAAGACACAUGGGGUUUAAGGUGAAGCCAUGAUCCUGAAAACUGCCUGGAAGCAUGAGUUGUGGCUGAGGACAAAGGAAGGGCUGCAGAGAGGGAGGCAGGCAGGGUUACCUCAUGGUGGUGUACAAGUGGGAAAAGCCCCAGCCCCUUGGGGGACACAAGGUAUGAGACCUCCACAAAUUCAGGAACAGUUGUAGUUCUGCUACUCCCAUGCAAGAGAAACCUGUAUAAACCUAGUUUGAAGGUGCCAGUGAAUGUCAGAUAUGGCUCUCCUUUGAUAUCAGCUGAAGGGCAGAAUGUGUGUGAAGGGGUCACUCUUUAUGCAGGGGUAGAUGAGUGGCCCCAGGUCAAUAAAGCUGUGUCUGCAUGAAACUCUGGAGCGAAUGAUUCCCUUACCUUGAGCUCCCCUCUGAAGAUCUGCACAUACAAUGGCAGCCACAGAUGUGUCUUCCACAGGUGCUUUAUAGGCAUUACACUUGAGCCCCACAUCAGCUCUGUGAAGUAGGAGCUACAGAUUUAUCC